CAGCACCUCAAGUGGUCAGGAUGAUUAUUGGGCCUAAAGCAUCCGUAGCCGGCGCUGUAAGUUUUCGGUUAAAUCUGUAUGCUCAACAUACAGGCUGCCGGGAAUACUGCAGCGCUAGGGAGUGGGAGAGGUAGACGGUACUCGGUAGGAAGGGGUAAAAUCCUUUGAUCUAUUGAUGACCACCUGUGGCGAAGGCGGUCUACCAGAACACGUCCGACGGUGAGGGAUGAAAGCUGGGGGAGCAAACCGGAUUAGAUACCCGAGUAGUCC
rnacentral:rRNA from 1 species